UACGUAGGGACCAAGCGUUGUCCGGAAUCAUUGGGCGUAAAGAGCGUGUAGGCGGCUUGUUAAGUCUUGCGUGAAAUCUCGGGGCUCAACACCGAGCGGUCGUGAGAAACUGUCGGGCUAGAGUCCGGAAGGGGCGAGUGGAAUUCCUGGUGUAGCGGUGAAAUGCGCAGAUAUCAGGAGGAACACCAAUGGCGAAGGCAGCUCGCUGGGACGUGACUGACGCUGAGACGCGAAAGCGUGGGGAGCAAACAGG
rnacentral:rRNA from 1 species